rnacentral:rRNA from 1 species
AUUGAACGCUGGCGGCAGGCUUAACACAUGCAAGUCGAGCGAGCGGCGGACGGGUGAGUAAUGUCUGGGAAACUGCCUGAUGGAGGGGGAUAACUACUGGAAACGGUAGCUAAUACCGCAUACCAUCAGAUGUGCCCAGAUGGGAUUGGCGAGUAGGGGGGGUAAUGGCUGACCUAGGAGACGAUCCCUAGCUGGUCUGAGAGGAUGACCAGCCACACGGGAACUGAGAAACGGUCCAGACCCCUACGGUAGGCAGCAGUGGGGAAUAUUGCACAAUGGGCGCAAGCCUGAUGCGGCCAUGCGGCGGGGGUGAAGAAGGCCUUCGGGUUGUAAAGCACUUUCAGCGAGGAGGCGUUACUCGCAGAAGAAGCACCGGCUAACUCCGUGCCAGCAGCCGCGGUAAUUC